AUUGAACGCUGGCGGCAUGCCUUACACAUGCAAGUCGAACGGUAACAGGUCUUCGGAUGCUGACGAGUGGCGCACGGGUGAGUAAUACAUCGGAACGUGCCCGAUCGUGGGGGAUAACGAAGCGAAAGCUUUGCUAAUACCGCAUAAGAUCUACGGAUGAAAGCAGGGGACCGCAAGGCCUUGCGCGAACGGAGCGGCCGAUGGCAGAUUAGGUAGUUGGUGGGAUAAAAGCUUACCAAGCCGACGAUCUGUAGCUGGUCUGAGAGGACGACCAGCCACACUGGAACUGAGACACGGCCCAGACUCCUACGGGAGGCAGCAGUGGGGAAUUUUGGACAAUGGGCGAAAGCCUGAUCCAGCCAUGCCGCGUGCAGGAUGAAGGCCUUCGGGUUGUAAACUGCUUUUGUACGGAACGAAAAGACUCUGGUUAAUACCUGGGGUCCAUGACGGUACCGUAAGAAUAAGCACCGGCUAACUACGUG
rnacentral:rRNA from 1 species